GAUGGAAGAACGUAGCGAAAUGCGAUAGGUAGUGUGAAUUGCAGAUGUAACGUGAAUCAUCGAAUCUUUGAACGCAAAUUGCACUCUCUGGUAUUCCGGGGAGUAUGCCUGUUUGAGGGUCGCCAAAUCAACAUCGAAAUUCAUUUGCUUUUUUGCAAAUGUUUCUCGGAUUUGAGCCGUCUUUUAUUUUUUUUAAAGUGGCUUAAAAUGCAUUUUUCGGUAUCGAAAAACGUUAUUUUACGAUCAAAUGGAUCAAAAAACAAACGUUUCGAAUGCCAUCUUUUAAUGUAAUACGUUUGACUGUGUUACAAUCAUGGUUUCAUUCGUAUACGAUUUUUUAAUUUUUGACCUCAAAUCAGGUAAGAACACCCGCUGAACUUAAGCAUAUCAAUAAGCGGAGGA
rnacentral:misc_RNA from 1 species